rnacentral:rRNA from 1 species
AUGGCGGAUUUGGGGCUCUGGAACCAGGGGUGGACGUGGGUCCUCUCCCAGAAGCACGUCGUCGCCUGGGCGCACGCCGCGGCGGGCUGCGGCAGGGACCGCCUCGCCUUCCUCGUCGACCGCCACUGGCCGGCCGUUUCCCGGGCCUGCGUCAGCUCCUCGCGCCUCCUGCUCGAGGCGCUCAGGCAGUGGCGGGGCUGCACGGCGCGGGGCCUCCUCGCGCUCGCCAGCCUCGGCCCCGCCGCCGUCUUCGUCAUCCUCUGGAGCUGCUUCGUGUGCAUGACCUCGUCGGCCUGCGCCCUCUACGCCCUCCUUGGCCUGGGAGCUGUUGCGGCAGUCAUUCACUACAUGGGCUAUACGCCUGGCCUUCUUAUUGUAGGACUGUUUGGCAUCAUGAUUAUGUGGAUGUAUGGCUACUUUUGGAUUACCGGCAUGCUUCUGGUUGCUGGAGGUUGUAUGUGCUCUUUGAAACAUGCACGAUUUGUCAUACCUGUGUUGGCUAUGUAUGCUGUUUAUUGCGUGGCUGUUCGUGUCGGGUGGCUUGGAGUUUUCUUCACGCUGAAUCUCUCUUUUCUGACAAAUGAUCUUCUGAACAAGUUGCUGCAAGGAUAUGAGGGAAGCAUGGAAGAGAGACCAUUUGAAGAAAUGAAGGAUUCUGAUCCAGCCACGGAUGCCUUCUUUCGUGGCUGUGAAUAUCCUCCUGCUCCUGAAAGUGAACCAGAGACCGUGUCGUCUGCAAAGCCCUUUUGCGCAGCACCUACCCAAGAUGUGUUACAUGUACAGAAGGAGCCAUCUCCCAGUAAAAUAGUGAAAUCAAAUUCUACUUCGUUGGACGAGAUGAAGAGGAUAAUGGAUGGUUCGACCUAUUAUGAUGUUUUGGGCAUCUCUCGGAGCAAAAGCAUCAAUCUGAUCGAAUUGAAAAAGGAAUACAGAAAAUUGGCAGUUCUUGUCCAUCCUGAUAAAAACAUGGGUAAUCCAUUGGCGUGCGAGUCAUUCAAGAAGCUUCAGUCAGCUUUUGAGGUACUCUCAGAUUUAACGAAGAAAAAUGGCUAUGAUGAACAGCUGAGGAAAGAAGAAUCCCGGCAAAUGACUCAGAGAUCACGUGUUGUCUCUCAACCGAGUGGGGUAGAGUUUCUCUCUGAGGAGUCCAGGCGUAUACAGUGCACAAAAUGUGGUAAUUUUCAUUUAUGGAUAUGUACCAAGAGAAGCAAAGCAAAAGCAAGAUGGUGCCAGGAUUGUUCCCAAUACCAUGUUGCCAAGGACGGAGAUGGGUGGGUGGAAAAUAGAUAUUCUGCAUCCUUGAAGUUAGAAAUACCAAGAGCUUUUGUCUGUGCGGAGAGUAAAAUAUUUGAUGUAUCUGAGUGGGCUACUUGCCAGGGAAUGGAGUGCAAACCAAACACUCAUGGUCCAACUUUUAUGGUGAACAUGGUUGGUGCGGAUAGGAUGCCUCAGAGAUCGCAGAGUUCUCGGUAUCCCUUUAGCCUGGACGCCGAGAUGAUCCCCGAAGACGAAUUUGAGCUGUGGCUUCAACAGGCAUUGGCGACGGGCGUCUUCUCUGACAGCCCGAAACGAAGGAAAAGCUGGAGCCCCUUCAAACUGCCUCAGAAAGGGAUCAGAAGUUGGCGGCGAUCGUCAUGA